GAUGAACGCUGGCGGCGUGCCUAAUACAUGCAAGUCGAGCGAACAGAUGAGGAGCUUGCUCCUCUGACGUUAGCGGCGGACGGGUGAGUAACACGUGGAUAACCUACCUAUAAGACUGGGAUAACUUCGGGAAACCGGAGCUAAUACCGUAUAAUAUAUUGAACCGCAUGGUUCAAUAGUGAAAGACGGUUUUGCUGUCACUUAUAGAUGGAUCCGCGCCGCAUUAGCUAGUUGGUAAGGUAACGGCUUACCAAGGCAACGAUGCGUAGCCGACCUGAGAGGGUGAUCGGCCACACUGGAACUGAGACACGGUCCAGACUCCUACGGGAGGCAGCAGUAGGGACUCUUCCGCAAUGGGCGAAAGCCUGACGGAGCAACGCCGCGUGAGUGAUGAAGGUCUUCGGAUCGUAAAACUCUGUUAUUAGGGAAGAACAAAUGUGUAAGUAACUAUGCACGUCUUGACGGUACCUAAUCAGAAAGCCACGGCUAACUACGUG
rnacentral:rRNA from 1 species